rnacentral:lncRNA from 1 species
GCCGGGCGUGGUGGCCCACGCCUUUAAUCCCAGCACUCAGGAGGCAGAGGCAGGCAGAUAUCUGAGUUCUCGAGGCCAGCCUGGUCUACAAAGUGAGCUCCAGGACAGCCAGGGCUAUACAGAGAAACCCUGUCUCGAAAAACCAAAAAAAAAAAAGAUUUCACUGUAGCUCUGGCUGUCCUGGAAUUCACGUUGUAGACCUGGCUCUCCUUGAACUUAGAGCUCUGCCUGCUU